GGAGAAUUGGUCGAGUGGUUUAAGACAGCAGAUUGCUAAUCUGUCAUACUCUUAAAUAGGGUAUCGUAGGUUCGAAUCCUACAUUCUCCG
rnacentral:tRNA from 1 species